rnacentral:lncRNA from 1 species
UACAGACACACACCUAAUAGUUUAGCAAUCUAACAGUUUGUUCCAAUUAAACACACAUACUGAACUGAACUGCCAUUUGAAGGAUUCAGUUCAGUAGUCCGACAUCAUACAUCACCUACUUGCCAAUCAGUGAUUUAAAAGCAGUCCUAAUUAUACAUAUAUCUACCAUUCAUAUAACAUGAAACACAUAACUAAUAUCAAAUAGAAUACACUCAUUCUAUAGUUUGAACAAUAAAUCCUCUAGCCAUUUCAUUUCAGCUUCAAUGAGCAUACACCAAGAUGAUUCAAAGUAGUGUACCUGGAAUCGAGAAUAGCAGAAGAAGAAAAAGAAAGGCAGGUCAGCAGUAGCAGUAGUAUACAAUACAGCAACACCACAGCAAAGAACAGAGCAACAACCAACAGAAAUAACACUCAUCACAAACAGUCCAAAACCCAGGAGUGAAACCAAAAAAUACCAAGCAAUUCACAGACAGGAACAGAAUGUAUUCAGAAAUGAGACAGGAGAGUAGAUUUUCUGAUUUCUGUUCUUCAGAUUCUCAAAUAAAGACACUCAGAACCCCAAUUAAACAGUAACAAACUGAUUCUGAUUUUCAAUAGUAAAGAAGACCUCACUUUUUCAGUAUUUAGCUCUCAACCUAUUGAACUCUUUAGGGUAAAAACUCAGCUUAUAUUUCCCUCUUAAACGCUGAAUUUCUGAUGUCAAAAAUCCCCGCCCCUCAAUUUAUCCUAAAUGUCCCCUAUUUAUAACCAAAAAAUCAGCAUGCCUUCCAUGGGAACACUUAAAGAAAUCAGGCUUAAACUGCUGCCCAUUCCCCUUAGAACCCCACUAACAUAUGUCUUCUUGUUUUUUACUUUACAACAUUACAAGCACUAUGUUUUACAACCUUUUCAGAAUCCCUUUUAUUUUCAGUUUUACAACCAUGUUAUUCCCUGAAGAAGUGCUGACAGUUUCAGUCUUUUCUUUAUUAAAUUCCCUAGUUAUGGGCAGUAUGACUUUUUUUUUAAAAUUAAACAAUGCCCUGAUAAUGCCCAUGCUGCUCCUGACUCAUUCUAGCCCAUUUUUUAUUAAAGAGAGUCAUUAGUUUAAUAGUUCACUGAAUAUUCAAUUGGCAGACCACUUAAACUAAGCCACUUUUAGGUUUUCAAAUCCCAAACUAACCCCCUGGGAAUCUGAACUACUGCCCUGUUCUAAACCUCUUAAUCUGAUGGUAGAACUCUAUAAGUUAUAACCUUAACAACUGAUUUCUAACUGAUCACUAAAGUACUACAGCUAUAACCAAUUUACAUUCAAAUUCAAACAAUGAUUCAAUCAGAAUUAAGUAGUAUGAAUCAAAUUAUUAUCAGGUUAUUCUAACAUUCAAGCAUGUAAAACUAAUCGACGACACUUAUCCAAUCGACUACACGAAUUACAACACAUACAAUCAAUAGCAAAUAAUCAGAAUCGAACAGGCACACAGGUGAUUCGAGUCGUAUUGAUAGAAACAGGGAUUUAUAAUAAAACUUAACUAAUCGACGAAACUCAUUCAAAUCGAUUGUAUAGUUUAUCAUAUACUUGACCAUGACCAGAAAAAGUUCGAUCAAAUAAAAGGUCAUUGAAGAAGGACGAAAUCAAUCGACAAAAAAAAUUGAAAAAUCAAUAAAACUAAACUAAACAAAUAAACAGAUAUAAACAAAUACAAAAUGGAACAAAUAGGAAAGGAAAUACCUCAAGAACUCGGAAACUGGACGACCUUGACUUGGACUCUAACUCAGACCUUUUUUGAGGUCGAACAGACCUUAAUCGAGUGUUCUCAACUAAGAACACUUCGACUAAGGUCCACUGGACACCCAAAUUCCUUUAAUUCGGACAAACUCCAGCCUUUGGUUUUCUAGGGUUCUUGGGGUUUGAUUUGGGGUUCGAACGGUUUUAGCCUGAUUCAGACCAAAAAAAUGGUGGUUUGGUGACGAAGGAGGUUAGGGAGAUGUCCGGUAUGAGUUUGGGGCCGGUUGGGGUAGUUUCAAAUUUUGCUCGAAUCUUCGAUUGAAGAUUCGAGAAACUACAGGCUGAUUCGAGCAAAACGGAUAAGGGAUUUGUGUUGAGGGUGGUCUAAUGGCUUUAGGGUGUUAAUUUGGUCGCCGACAGCAUCGUUGCCUCCGGGUUUCAGGUGAAGGUGUGAGAGGGCGGCUAAGGUUUGGGCUAUGGAGUUCGUCUUUGAGAGAG